rnacentral:rRNA from 1 species
GACGAACGCUGGCGGCGUGCCUAACACAUGCAAGUCGAGCGGGGAAAACCCUUCGGGGUUUUUCCAGCGGCGGACGGGUGAGUAACGCGUGAGCAAUCUGUCCCAUACAGGGGGAUAACAACUGGAAACAGUUGCUAAUACCGCAUGAGACCACAGAGUCGCAUGGCUUAGGGGUCAAAGGAGCAAAUCCGGUAUGGGGUGAGCUCGCGUCCGAUUAGAUAGUUGGUGAGGUAACGGCCCACCAAGUCAACGAUCGGUAGCCGACCUGAGAGGGUGAUCGGCCACAUUGGAACUGAGACACGGCCCAGACUCCUACGGGAGGCAGCAGUGGGGGAUAUUGCACAAUGGGGGAAACCCUGAUGCAGCAACGCCGCGUGAGGGAAGAAGGUCUUCGGAUUGUAAACCUAAGUUGUCAGGGACGAAAUUUGACGGUACCUGAAGAGAAAGCUCCGGCUAACUACGUGCCAGCAGCCGCGGUAAUGGU